UACGUAGGGUGCGAGCGUUAAUCGGAAUUACUGGGCGUAAAGCGUGCGCAGGCGGUUUUGUAAGCCAGAUGUGAAAUCCCCGGGCUUAACCUGGGAAUGGCAUUUGGGACUGCAAGGCUUGAGUGCGGCAGAGGAGACUGGAAUUCCCGGUGUAGCAGUGAAAUGCGUAGAUAUCGGAAGGAACAUCAGUGGCGAAAGCGACUUCCUGGACCAGUACCGACGUUCAGGCACGAAAGCGUGGGGAGCAAACAGG
rnacentral:rRNA from 1 species